UAGGGAAUAUUAGAAAUGGACGAAAGUCCGAUCUAGCGACACCGCGUGUGCGAAGAAGGCCUUCGGGUUGUAAAGCACUUUUUGGAAGGAAUUGGAAGGAAGGUACUUCCAGAAUAAGUCUCGGCUAACUACGUGCCAGCAGCCGCGGUAACACGUAGGAGGCGAACGUUAUCCGGAUUUACUGGGCGUAAAGCGCGUGUAGGUGGUUCUGUAAGUAGGGCGUGAAAGCUCCAGGCUCAACUGGGAGAGGCCGUUCUAAACUGCAGAGCUAGAGGAGGGGAGAGGGAGGUGGAAUUCCGGGUGUAGCGGUGGAAGGCGCAGAUAUCCGGAGGAACGCCAGUGGCGAAGGAGGCCUCCUGGACCAUUCCUGACAAUCAGACGCGAAAGCUAGGGUAGCAAACGG
rnacentral:rRNA from 1 species